rfam:Picea glauca, whole genome shotgun sequence.
UGACAUGUAGCUCACUGGUAGAGCAGCCCAUUGGCUGGGCAAGGUCUGAGUUUGAUUCCUAUCCUGUCAU